UAAGGCAAUGUCUGCCCGGUGAAUAUUUUUAACGGCCGCAGUACUCUGACUGUGCAAAGGUAGCAUAAUAAUUUGUCCUUUAAUUAGGGACUGGAAUGAAAGGCGUUAUGGGGGAUUACUGUCUUAUGAUAAAUAUUUAAAAUUUAUUUAGCGGGUGAAAAUACCCGUAUUAUUAAAUAAGACGAGAAGACCCUUAGAAUUAUAACUAUAAGUUUUGGUUUUAGUGGUGGUUUUUGUUGGGGCAACAUUAACCAUUUUAAACGGUUGAAAUUAUAUAAUGACAUGUAUUAUAUAGUAUGUAAGUUUUAANNACCUGAGGGAUAACAGCAUAAUUUAUAAAUAAGAUUNUGACC
rnacentral:rRNA from 1 species